rnacentral:rRNA from 1 species
CCUACGGGUGGCUGCAGUUUCGAAUCCUUCACAAUGGGCGAAAGCCUGAUGGUGCGACGCCGCGUGAGGGAUGAAGGUCUUCGGAUUGUAAACCUCUGUCACUGGGGAGAAAACGCUUUGAGUUAAUAGUUCAAAGCCUGAUUUAACCCGGAGAGGAAGCAGUGGCUAACUCUGUGCCAGCAGCCGCGGUAAUACAGAGACUGCAAGCGUUAUUCUGAAUCGCUGGGCGGAGAGGGUGCGUGUCAGGUGUGAAAUCCCGAGGCUUAACCUCGGAACUGCGUCUGAAACUACUCGACUAGAGUACUGGAGAGGGAAACGGAAUUCACGGUGUAGCAGUGAAAUGCGUAGAUAUCGUGAGGAACACCAGAGGCGAAGGCGGUUUCCUGGACAGUUACUGACGCUCAGGCACGAAAGCAUGGGGAGCAAAAGAGAUUAGAUACCCUAGUAGUC